AAACGGCCUAGGCCACGGCUAAUCUAAACCGCUGCCCUCCCCAGCCAGCCCUGCGGCAGGGUGAAAACUGGGACCAAUUUGCUGCCUAAACCCUGAGGAUACAGCAAGUUUGAUUCUCGACCUUUAAGGACACCAGCUGCAAUUUGUUCCGCCGAAAAGAGCUUAGCGGUUCUGGCACAUUCUGACAAGAUACAUUUUAUAGGGUUUGUGCUCAAAUUUGAUAUUGGAAGUUAGGAUUCCAAUUUUAUGCCUCCAGUGAUAACAAUAGCAGCUGGGACCUUUAAGAAAUGUGUGUGUAUGCCUUCUAUUGAAGAGUUACAUAACAAAAGCUAUUUAUGUCAAACACCUUAUAAGGGAAAGAUUUAGCCUAAAUGUCAA
rnacentral:lncRNA from 1 species